UACGGGGGGGGCAAGCGUUGUUCGGAAUUACUGGGCGUAAAGCGUAUGCAGGCGGAUCGUUAAGUCGGGGGUGAAAUCCCGAGGCUCAACCUCGGAACUGCCUUCGAUACUGGCGAUCUUCGAGUCCGGGAGAGGUGAGUGGAACUCCGAGUGUAGAGGUGAAAUCCGUAGAUAUUCGGAAGAACACCAGUGGCGAAGGCGGCUCACUGGCCCGGUACUGACGCUGAGAUACGAAAGCGUGGGGAGCAAACAGG
rnacentral:rRNA from 1 species